AUCGCUUCUCGGCCUUUUGGCUAAGAUCAAGUGUAGUAUCUGUUCUUAUCAGUUUAAUAUCUGAUACGUCCCCUAUCCGGGGACCAUAUAUUAAAUUGAUUUUUGGAACAGGGAGAUGGAAUAGGAGCUUGCGUGCAGUGUUGCCAACUUAGCGACUUUGUCGCUAUAUUUAGCGAGUUUUCAGACCCCCU
rnacentral:snRNA from 1 species